rnacentral:rRNA from 1 species
UGGAUCCAGACUUUGAUUAUGGCUCAGGAUGAACGCUAGCUACAGGCUUAACACAUGCAAGUCGAGGGGCAGCGGGAUUGAAGCUUGCUUCAAUUGCCGGCGACCGGCGCACGGGUGAGUAACGCGUAUCCAACCUUCCGUACACUCAGGGAUAGCCUUUCGAAAGAAAGAUUAAUACCUGAUGGUAUCUUAAGCACACAUGUAAUUAAGAUUAAAGAUUUAUCGGUGUACGAUGGGGAUGCGUUCCAUUAGGUAGUAGGCGGGGUAACGGCCCACCUAGCCAACGAUGGAUAGGGGUUCUGAGAGGAAGGUCCCCCACAUUGGAACUGAGACACGGUCCAAACUCCUACGGGAGGCAGCAGUGAGGAAUAUUGGUCAAUGGAUGAGAGUCUGAACCAGCCAAGUAGCGUGAAGGAUGAAGGUCCUACGGAUUGUAAACUUCUUUUAUAAGGGAAUAAACCCUCCCACGUGUGGGAGCUUGUAUGUACCUUAUGAAUAAGCAUCGGCUAACUCCGUGCCAGCAGCCGCGGUAAUACGGAGGAUGCGAGCGUUAUCCGGAUUUAUUGGGUUUAAAGGGAGCGCAGACGGGUCGUUAAGUCAGCUGUGAAAGUUUGGGGCUCAACCUUAAAAUUGCAGUUGAUACUGGCGUCCUUGAGUGCGGUUGAGGUGUGCGGAAUUCGUGGUGUAGCGGUGAAAUGCUUAGAUAUCACGAAGAACUCCGAUUGCGAAGGCAGCACACUAAUCCGUAACUGACGUUCAUGCUCGAAAGUGUGGGUAUCAAACAGGAUUAGAUACCCUGGUAGUCCACACGGUAAACGAUGGAUACUCGCUGUUGGCGAUAUACUGUCAGCGGCUUAGCGAAAGCGUUAAGUAUCCCACCUGGGGAGUACGCCGGCAACGGUGCAACUCAAAGGAAUUGACGGA